rnacentral:snRNA from 1 species
GUGCUCGCUUCCGCAGCACAAAUACUAAAAUUGGACCGAUACAGAGAAGAUUAGCGCGGCUCCUGCGCAAGGAUGACACUGUAAUUCGCGAAGCGCUCCAUGUUUUU